AUUGAAAGCUGGCGGCAGGCUUAACACAUGCAAGUCGAGCGCGUGGCGGACGGGUGAGUAAUGUCUGGGAAACUGCCUGAAGGAGGGGGAUAACUACUGGAAACGGUAGCUAAUACCGCAUACCAUCAGAUGUGCCCCGCUGGGAUUAGCUAGGCGGUGGGGUAAUGGCACACCUAGGCGACGAUCCCUAGCUGGUCUGAGAGGAUGACCAGCCACACUGGAACUGAUACACGGUCCAGACUCCUACGGGAGGCAGCAGUGGGGAAUAUUGCACAAUGGGCGCAAGCCUGAUGCAGCCAUGCCGCGUGUAUGAAGAAGGCCUUCGGGUUGUAAAGCACUUUCAGCGAGGAGGCGGUACUCGCAGAAGAAGCACCGGCUAACUCCGUGCCAGCAGCCGCGGUAAUAC
rnacentral:rRNA from 1 species